rnacentral:misc_RNA from 1 species
UAAGCUCAAGGACUCUGAUGAUAGUAAUGCAAGAAAUGAUUGCCAAAGACACCAACUUUAUCAAAAGAAUGUAACUGGAUUGUGAAGAAGAAUCAAUUACUUUAUCUGGAGAAAGUCCAGAACUAAAAUAUGAUUUUUCAUGAAAUGAUGAUGUUACAUAACAGAGUUCCCAAGACCCAAAAACCUGCAGAAAAAGAAAGAAAGGGAAGAAGAACAGAGGGAGAAGCAGAACAGAGAGAGAAUAUCGAGGAAGAAGGGAGGAGGGAGAGAGAGAAAGAGAGAAGUAGCAUAUGGUGAGAGGCAAGGAAGAGAAAUUAAGUGAAUAAAUAAAUUAAGGCUUUAUUUGUUUCACGGAAAAUAUUUUUUUGGAAAAUA